CCCCCCCUUUAGAGCAAUUCAAAUGAGGUACAGCCCGUUUGAUACAGGAUACAACCUUCACUAACGGGUAAUAUUUAAUUUACACUCCCUAAGUUGGCCUAAUAGCAGCCACCUUUUAAAAAGCGUCAAAGCUUAACCCUGGUAUUUUAAUUUAAAAUUUUACAUUAACCCCUUUAACCGUAUUGAGAACUUCUAUAGCCCCUAUAGAACCUUUAAUGCUAAAACUAAUAACAAGAGAAAACACCUCUCCUAAAUGCAAGUGUAAGCCACUAAGAACCCCCCACUGACAAUUAACAGCCCCAGGGGGUAGCAACCUCACUAGAAAACUCUACCUGCCCACCUGUUAACCUAACACCAGAGCAUUUCAAGAAAGAUUAAAAGAAAAAAAAGGAACUCGGCAAAUUCCAGCCCCGCCUGUUUACCAAAAACAUCGCCUCUUGCCCACAUAAGAGGUCCAGCCUGCCCAGUGACUCUGUUCAACGGCCGCGGUAUUCUAACCGUGCAAAGGUAGCGUAAUCACUUGUCUUCCAAAUAAAGACCAGUAUGAAAGGCAUCACGAGGACUAAACUGUCUCCUCUUUCUAAUCAGUGAACCUAAUCUCCCCGUGAAGAAGCGGGGAUCCAAAUAUAAGACGAGAAGACCCUAUGGAGCUUAAAACAUUACACACCUGCCACCACCUGUAACUACUCCGGUAUUUCCCCUAACGGCACCCUGAUUGAAUGUUUUUGGUUGGGGUGACCGCGGAGAAAAACUCAUCCUCCACAAUGAAAGGGGCCCCCCCUAAACAAUAAGUCACAACUUUAUGUAUCAAUAAAUUGACAACCAUUGACCCAAUAAAUUGAUUAACGAACCAAGUUACCCUAGGGAUAACAGCACAAUCCACUUUAAGAGGCCCUAUCGACAAGUGGGCUUAUGACCUCGAUGUUGGAUCGGGGUAUCCUAGUGGUGCAGCCGCUACUAAAGGUUCGUUUGUUCAACGAUUAAAACCCCACGUGAUCUGAGUUCAGACCGGAGUAAUCCAGGUCAGUUUCUAUCUAUAAAGCGCUAGUUUCAGUACGAAAGGACCAAAAUAGCAUGGCCUAUGCUUCCGCAAGCCAUAAUUACCCAUUUUUAGACCCCUACUCAAAAAAUAAUUAAUCU
rnacentral:rRNA from 1 species